rnacentral:tRNA from 14 species
GCAUGGUGGCGGCGCCAGAUUUGGCAACUCCGGCGGCGGUGGAGCUGCGGCAGGGUUCGACUCCGGU